rnacentral:lncRNA from 1 species
GCUCAAAGGAGAGAGCUGCUUGCAAUCUUUCACCUGGUUUUGUUUUCCCCCAUGCACAGCAAUAAAAACCCCCGAUCUGCUUAUUCUCUACCUCUAGGCAAACGUCUUCAGUUACCUAUGGGAAGGGUCUCUUUAUUUCUUUUCCCCUGUCUGCUGCUCCUUCUCCUCCCUUCUGGCCAUCUCUUUGCCUUGGCUGCUUGAAUGUUUGCUCUCUCACUGUGCUGGCUCUCCACCUUUCCCCCCUGGGACAUUUCUUUUGGCUUGGUUUCCCUUUAGAGAAUCAUAACAUGUAGCUUCCGUUCCUGACUUUGCAGCUCCUGGUUACUCAGCUUCUGUGGUGCAGUGUCUAUCUGUGAAUGACCCUCCUCCCUUCUUCCCUGGCCUUUUCAACUCCCCUGUGUGAAUCACCCUGACUGAGGAGGGGGGGAGAAAGGAAGACCUUGGCAUUACUAACCCUUUAUGGAGAAUGUCACCAUUAUCCCAACCCAGUGGUGAGAGGAUGAAGAUCCAGUCAUCUGGCGAGUCAGGAUCCAAUCAGCUAACAGGCCAGAGCCCCACCCUCCAGGAUGCUCAGGACUUCCACGGGGCCAAGAGAACGGAUACACUAUGCAGGAGGUGGUCACUCCCUGGAAAUGGUCCCUGGCUCCCGGCUUGGCGACUUCUCCGCUUCCAGCCGCUUCUUCCAGGAGGAGGGAGGAGAUGGAGUGACCUGCCUCUUCCCAAGCAGCUUCCAAAUGGGCCACCCUCCCGGCCCGUUGAGUCCAUGACACAUCCCAAGCAGCUAACGAAUGCUGAGAGAAGCUGGGAGCCGCCGGCCUCCAGAUGUCCGGUUUUCUGGCCCCACCCUCUCCACUCUGGCCGG